AUUGCCUGUUUAAUAGUUGCUGUUGCUGCACUUCCGCUUCUCUCCCAGCGAGAGAGAGACACGAGUGGCCAGGCCCAGCCGCAGCCGCAGCAGCAGCCGCCGCGGCGGCACGGAGGAGCCAGACACAAAGAGAGGGGCUGUUUGCGGGGUGGGGUGGGGGGUUCGCUAUGUCGGAUGACGAUUCGAGGGCCAGCACCAGCUCCUCCUCAUCUUCGUCUUCCAACCAGCAAACCGAGAAAGAAACAAACACCCCCAAGAAGAAGGAGAGUAAAGUCAGCAUGAGCAAAAACUCCAAACUCCUCUCCACCAGCGCCAAGAGGUACUGUGCUCUUUUUUUUUCCACAGGCUUCCUAUUUUCCGAACUGCCUCUUGCUGCAUUUGGUCUGCCUCCCAACGAGGAUAGCUUAAACGCUCCUCAUGGUUUAUGUGUUCUUAAAAAUGAAAGAAGGGCCUUGGAAGCCCUAAUUAUUUUCUCUAUUGCUGCUUCUGUUUUUUAAUCAUUGCUCACAUGCAGCUGUUGCGGCUUGCCUCUCGCAUUUCUUGCUGAAGUUUGUAAGAUUCCUCGUUACUUUUAUUAGUGACCCCCAAAUCUGAUUUCAGAUUUCUUGUCCUACUAAUGGUUAAUCUGUGACCUUCCCCAAGUCCAUGAUCCCAUUUCUUAAUUACUAAUACCAGCCCAGAGAACUGCAUCAAAAUGAAUUCUGUGACCAUUUUACCUUCUCCUCACCUGUUGCAUGGAUGAUCUUUUCUAAAUAGAGCUUUCUUCACAAAUUGCAUAAGGAAUAA
rnacentral:sRNA from 1 species